UUAAGUGAUGAUAGCCUAGGAGAUACACCUGUUCCCAUGCCGAACACAGAAGUUAAGCCCUAGUACGCCUGAUGUAGUUGGGGGUUGCCCCCUGUUAGAUACGGUAGUCGCUUAGC
rnacentral:rRNA from 1 species